rnacentral:rRNA from 1 species
AGUGAACGCUGGCGGUAGGCCUAACACAUGCAAGUCGAACGGCAGCACAGUAAGAGCUUGCUCUUACGGGUGGCGAGUGGCGGACGGGUGAGGAAUACAUCGGAAUCUACUUUUUCGUGGGGGAUAACGUAGGGAAACUUACGCUAAUACCGCAUACGACCUACGGGUGAAAGCAGGGGAUCUUCGGACCUUGCGCGAUUGAAUGAGCCGAUGUCGGAUUAGCUAGUUGGCGGGGUAAAGGCCCACCAAGGCGACGAUCCGUAGCUGGUCUGAGAGGAUGAUCAGCCACACUGGAACUGAGACACGGUCCAGACUCCGACGGGAGGCAGCAGUGGGGAAUAUUGGACAAAGGGCGCAAGCCUGAUCCAGCCAUACCGCGUGGGUGAAGAAGGCCUUCGGGUUGUAAAGCCCUUUUGUUGGGAAAGAAAAGCAGCAGGUUAAUACCCCGCUGUUCGGACGGUACCCAAAGAAUAAGCACCGGCUAACUUCGU